ACGCCGCACGUGUCAUGAAUCCUCAGACGUUUUUGGAUCAGCGGCUGGAAGAAAAAGUGGAAUCGUGACCGAAAGCCUGGAAAUUGCAAGUUUGAAGGAGAUUGCUGUAACUGAUCGUCUUGUACCUGCUGCGGUGCCGAUGGCUACACCGCCGGCCAACGUCGAAUUCUGCACGUGCACCAUGUUGAAUUUGCUAUUCUCGGAGACCAGGGCGGAGGUCGCGAACGCGAUCACACAGCUGGACGAGAUGGACAGAAGAGUGUUUAUAAUGGCCCUUUGCUGAUCGUCUCCUUGCAGAGCGGCGCUGUUGAACGAUGGCCAGAACAACCACAGGAACACGGUGCC